UACAGAGGUCUCGAGCGUUAGGCGGAAUCACUGGGCUUAAAGCGUGUGUAGGUGGAUCGUUAAGUACCUUGUGAAAUCCCACGGCUUAACCGUGGAACUGCUUGGUAUACUGGGCGGUCUUGAGCCAGGCUAGGGGCUACCGGAACAAAAUGGUGGAGCGGUGAAAUGACGUAGAUAUCAUUUGGAACGCCAAUGGGUGAAAACAGGUAGCUGGGGCUGUGCU
rnacentral:rRNA from 1 species